rnacentral:lncRNA from 1 species
UUUUUUUUGUAGAGACAAGAGUUUCACCAUGUUGCCCAGGCUGGUCUAGAACUCCUGGGCUCAUGUGAUCUGCCCGCCUUGGUCUCCCGAAGUGCUGGGAUUACAAAUGUGAGCCACCGCGCCCAGCCAGGAAUGAAUCUUCUAUCUGUGAAAUCAUGAAGAAGGAAAAACGAAUUCUAGUUUUGCUGCCACACCUUAAACUGCAAAAGUUAGGGCCACAGUGCAUGACAAAAGCUUAGUUAAGAUGGAAAAGGCAUAAAAUUUGUGGGUAGAAGACAUGAACAGAAACAUCUUCCAACUGAUGGCAACUGGGCCUGGCACUAUCCUUGGGGCUUCACGCAUCCACUGUGGGUUCUGGAAUAGAUCCUCUGUGGAUAAGGGGGGACUACUGCAUUUUAGAACUGCAAUUGACCAAGAUUUUUUGUAAAGGGCCAGAUAAUAAAUAUUUUAGGGUAUGGGAGCCAUACAGUCUCUGUCCCAACCAUUCUCCUUUGCUGCUGAAGCACACAAGCAGCCAAAACCAGGUAAACGAAUGUGUGAGGCUGUGUUCCCGCAGGUGGGGCUAGAUUGGGCUCACAGGAUCUGGUCUGAUGACCCCAUUUUGGAGGACUCAACAGGCCCAAAUGUUUGAUAGGAAAGGAAUAAUCAGGGCUAAGGAAUUUAAAACAGAAAAUCAGGUUAAGUUUAAGUAGUUCAUGCUAACAUCAGCAAAGCCAGCAUCUAGCACUUUAGUUAUAAGCUUCUAAAAUGUGAGGAAGACAAUUUGUUGCAGUUAAAAACCAAACAAAACUUGCUUAGGAAAUAACGUAUUCACUUCCUUAUAGGGUGACCCUUGGGCAAAUCACAACUGCAAGCUCAGUUUCCUCAUUUGAAAUUUACCUGUUUGGGCUCUAAGGGCUGUGUGGAAAUUCUAUGAAUUCUAACACUUAGAGCCAGAUGUUCAGAAGAAACAGACAGCUGGCUCCAUCUACCUUGCAUUGGCCAACCAGAUGCCAGCCUGGCAGGUCCAUGUCCUAGCAGUGGCAUGGUCAGGGACUGUUUGGCCACACAUCAUAAUCCAAGAGGUCCAGUCCCUUGACCCUCCAUUUAAGAUUUAAUCAGAUGCUGGCUUUAAGUUCCCAGAGUCAGCCAGGGAGUACAUGGUUAAAAAACAUUAACUGCUAUCGACAUCUAACUUAAUUUGGUUUAAAAGAACAUUCUGAGCUAAGUAACUGUUGGAAAUUGCAAAGUCAGCACAUGUAAACUGGAAGUCUUGUGCUUUUAUUUUAGGGACUGGACUUCCUAUUUCAGGUAACUGGUACCAAGCUAGGAUCUAUUUCACUAACUUGGAGGAAAGACCAAAGGAAAGACCAAUGGUCAAAAUUCUUGACCAUUCUUAUUGUACUAAUGGGAUUAUCCAUAUAAAAACAGUUAUUUCAUUUAAGUGAUAUAAAAUAAUAAAUAUUAUCUUUUUAUAUUGUUACCUGGCUUUAGUUUACUGGUGUCCAUGCCACUUUGGCACUAUAUACAUUAUUUAAAAGCAAACAAUGAACAGUCUAUCAUCGAGUUUUUCUACUCAUUCACAUUCAUUUGUCUCUAAUUUGGACUAAAGAUAAAAUUUAAUACAAAGACGGCUAAAAAAUUAAGUGAUAACUUUCCAUCAACUUAGGACAUCAUUCUUCCCUCUCUUACAGUCUGAAGGUAGGAACUAAAAUAUUCCUUUCCCAGUGAAAGUUUGAUUUUUAAACUUCAUGAUCUUCAAGCAAAAGAUAAAUGACAAGGUUCCUGCCACCAGCAGCUCAAAUGCAUGGUGUACUGACACCCAGUGUUACUGCUGAAAAGUUACUAAGAAGGACCGUGUGGGGAACAAAUCUGACAUAGCAGGUGACAGCUAAACAUCCUUUAUACCUCCAUAUCGUGCAAUGGGCUUAUAUAUUUCAACAUCUGAGUUUACACCUUCUAUUUUCAUUGUGUGUUUAAUAUAUUAAAUUCACCAGCAAACAUUCAAGUUUCUGUAGUAGGGGUUUCUGAGAAAUGAAAUGAAGGCAUAUACUCUUGCAAGCUCUAGGGAACAGGUGAACAGGGCAGCAGUGGGUCGCAGCUUACUUAAAGAAGCCCCAAGUGUCACCAAUGCAAACAAGUGGUACCAUGACAAUAAUCACAGCACGAAAAUAACAAGAGCCCCAUGUUUGGUGGGGAGCAGGGCUGUACCUCUGGCUAAAGUAACAACUGGCAGUGGAGAACAAAAGUUUCAAAAGCUUGAUUUUCCCAGCACAACGGGCUGAUGCAAU